GGGGAUGCACCGGUUUCGACGGGUGUGUUAGAGAUCUCGAGCUGCAGGUGAGGACGUCUUUCCUCCGAACAGACAAAACCUAUAAUUGCCGAUUUCGACAAUUCUUACGACUACGCCUUAGCUGCGUAAUCGCGGGAUACGGAUUGUGCCGCUCUGAACGGUCCGAUAUCCUGACGCUGAUCAGGGCUUGCUUUGCAGGGUGUCCGGUACCUGCACGGGACUUUUACCGGAAUACGGAGACGACGCUUGCGGCGCUGCUACCGUUUCCCGACAAAUACCUCGCGCCGCUAAACCUGUAGAUGUUCCCGGUCCUCUCAUUCGGACGGGGGUUCAAUUCCCCCCAUCUCCAACU
rfam:Treponema maltophilum ATCC 51939 genomic scaffold aczIZ-supercont-complete, whole genome shotgun sequence.